GACGAACGCUGGCGGCGUGCUUAACACAUGCAAGUCGAACGAAGAGCGAUGGAAGCUUGCUUCUCUCAAUCUUAGUGGCGAACGGGUGAGUAACGCGUAAUCAACCUGCCCUUCAGAGGGGGACAACAGUUGGAAACGACUGCUAAUACCGCAUACGAUCUAAUCUCGGCAUCGAGGAUAGAUGAAAGGUGGCCUCUACAUGUAAGCUAUCACUGAAGGAGGGGAUUGCGUCUGAUUAGCUAGUUGGAGGGGUAACGGCCCACCAAGGCGAUGAUCAGUAGCCGGUCUGAGAGGAUGAACGGCCACAUUGGGACUGAGACACGGCCCAGACUCCUACGGGAGGCAGCAGUGGGGAAUCUUCCGCAAUGGACGAAAGUCUGACGGAGCAACGCCGCGUGAGUGAUGACGGCCUUCGGGUUGUAAAGCUCGGUUAAUCGGGACGAAAGGCCUUCUUGCGAAUAGUGAGAAGGAUUGACGGUACCGGAAUAGAAAGCCACGGCUAACUACGUG
rnacentral:rRNA from 1 species